UACGGGGGGAGCAAGCGUUGUUCGGAUUUACUGGGCUUAAAGAGUUCGUAGGCGGUCCGUCAAGUGGGGUGUGAAAUCCCUCGGCUCAACCGAGGAAUUGCGCUCCAAACUGUCGGGCUCGAGGGAGAUAGAGGUGAGCAGAACUGAUGGUGGAGCGGUGAAAUGCGUUGAUAUCAUCAGGAAUACCAGAGGCGAAGGCGGCUCACUGGGUCUCUUCUGACGCUGAGACGCGAAAGCGUGGGGAGCGAACAGG
rnacentral:rRNA from 1 species